rnacentral:rRNA from 1 species
AACGAACGCUGGCGGCAUGCCUAAUACAUGCAAGUCGAACGAGAUCUUCGGAUCUAGUGGCGCACGGGUGCGUAACGCGUGGGAAUCUGCCCUUCGGUUCGGAAUAACAGUUAGAAAUGACUGCUAAUACCGGAUGAUGACGUAAGUCCAAAGAUUUAUCGCCGAAGGAUGAGCCCGCGUAAGAUUAGCUUGUUGGUGAGGUAAAAGCUCACAAAGGCGACGAUCUUUAGCUGGUCUGAGAGGAUGAUCAGCCACACUGGGACUGAGACACGGCCCAGACUCCUACGGGAGGCAGCAGUAGGGAAUAUUGGACAAUGGGCGAAAGCCUGAUCCAGCAAUGCUGCGUGAGUGAUGAAGGCCUUAGGGUUGUAAAGCUCUUUUACCCGAGAUGAUAAUGACAGUAUCGGGAGAAUAAGCUCCGGCUAACUCCGUGCCAGCCGCCGCGGUAA